UGCGGCCAAAGCAGGCCUCUACACGUAAGCUUGCGCUUGAGGAUGAGUCUGCGGCCCAUCAGCUAGUUGGUAGGGUAAUGGCCUACCAAGGCUAAGACGGGUAGCUGGUCUGAGAGGAUGAACAGCCACACUGGAACUGAGACACGGUCCAGACUCCUACGGGAGGCAGCAGUGGGGAAUCUUGCGCAAUGGGCGAAAGCCUGACGCAGCGACGCCGCGUGAGCGAUGAAGGCCUUCGGGUUGUAAAGCUCUGUGGGGAGGAAAGAAUAAGGUUUGGCUAACAUCCAAAUCGAUGACGGUACCUCCUUAGCAAGCACCGGCUAACUCUGUGCCAGCAGCCGCGGUAAGACAGAGGGUGCAAACGUUGUUCGGAAUUACUGGGCGUAAAGCGCGUGUAGGCGGCCCUGCAAGUCGGAUGUGAAAUCCCACGGCUCAACCGUGGAAGUGCAUUCGAAACUGCAGGGCUAGAGUCCUGGAGAGGAAGGUGGAAUGCUUGGUGUAGAGGUGAAAUUCGUAGAUAUCAAGCGGAACACCGGUGGCGAAGGCGGCCUUCUGGACAGUGACUGACGCUGAGACGCGAAAGCGUGGGGAGCAAACAGGAUUAGAUACCCUGGUAGUCCACGCCGUAAACGAUGAGUGCUAGGUGUCACGGGCUUUGACCCUCGUGGUGCCGAAGCUAACGCGUUAAGCACUCCGCCUGGGGAGUACGGUCGCAAGACUAAAACUCAAAGGAAUUGACGGAAUCGAAUU
rnacentral:rRNA from 1 species